AUAUUGGACAAUGGGCGAAAGCCUGAUCCAGCCAUGCCGCGUGGGUGAAGAAGGUCUUCGGAUUGUAAAGCACCUUAAGUUGGGAGGAAGGGCAGUAAGAUAAUACCUUGCUGUUUUGAGGUUACCGACUGAAUAAGCACCGGCUAUCUUCUUCCCAGCAGCCGCGGUAAUACGGAGGGUGCAAGCGUUAAGCGGAAUUACUGGGGAUAAAGCGCGCGUAGGUGGUUUGUUGAGUUGGGAGAGAACGCCCCGGGCACAACCUGGGAACUGCUUUAAAAACUGGCAAGCUAGAGUAGGGCAGAGGGUGGUAGAAUUUCCUGUGUAGCGGUAAAAUGCGUAGAUAUAGGAAAGAACACCAGUGGCGAAGGCGACCACCUGGGCUAAUACUGACACUGAGGUGCGAAAGCGUGGGGAGCAAAC
rnacentral:rRNA from 1 species